GAAUUUUGAAGUUCAAGAUAGAAUGAGUGGCAUCUUUCUGAAAACAAGGGGCACAGAUUGGUGAGUUGUUUCCGAGAGCUUUAGUGCAGGAGUUCGGGCGUUUUCUAGGCAUUCCUCUGUACUGCUGACUCUUGAACAGCAUGGAUAUGAAGAAUGUGAUGAAUUCGCCGACAUCUUGGAGGGCUAGGGCAGCAGGGAGAUUUGAUUUGAAAAAGUUGCACAUUUUAUGUCCUAGAACUAUUGAAAAGUUUAUAAAAGGUAUCUCAGUGUAUAAAAAAGAUGUGCAUAGUUAUCAAAAUAUGUACAAAUUGAUUAUAAAAGUUUACCAAAACUUAAGAUUUCAGAGUAUAGCGAAAUGUAAGCAUCAACUAUAAAACUAGAAGGCGCAUGCUAAGAUAGAAUGCUAUACUACAGCAACCUUGUAGUCACUUCUGGUUGCGCUUGCUUCCAGAACACAUCGACCACCAGUGGCCCAGGACUGGGGAUGUUAAAACGUACACUUUUCAACUGGAGAGGCUGAACCGUGGUGGCUACUUAGAGUCACUACUGCUGCGAUGAAACACCAUGACCAAAAGGGUUAUUAGAGUCUUACCUUGAACUCGGAGAGAUCCACUUCCGUCUGCUUCUCCAGUGCUGAGAUUGGGGUUAUAGUUUUCCACAACCAUGCUGGUCCUCUUUUGGCUGUUUCAUUGUCUGACAAGAUUAGUCUGCAGCUCCGACUCAAGCUCGAUGUUCUAUGAAGAAGCUUAUCUGAUGAUGACUGAACAUGGCACUGAUUAUAGCAGAAUAUCAUGAGGAGCCAUUUCCUUUAUCAGUGAUAACUUGGCAAGCUUCAUCACUGAAGAUUUUUUAAGAGACGUUUACUCAGUCUACCCAGUUUUCUUUAGUGGAUUAAUCUUUUGAUGUCUUUAUCACCCAAACCAGGGUCACCUAAAGUUUCUUCUGUGACAUCUGAAGAAGUCAAAAGCUUCUUUACAUUGAGUCUAAGAGUAAAAUGCAAAUGUCCACUUGAAAGCAUAUGCUGAAAGUUCUGCACAUCUAGUAUAUUGUCAUUAAGUCUGUGCUUUCCAUGGAUCAUUCUUCAAAUGAAAUAGUAACAUAUGCUGGUAUAGUGUAUGCUAAAAUGCUGAUUUACAUUUCUCUAAUUUUUACUUAAUGCUUUGAGACCAUAUCAUUGGGAGGAUAUCUAUUUAAAUAAUUUUAUCCUCUUGACUUGAUUCAACUUUCAUUGAAAUGCAAGCCUUAUCUUUAGGCAGACUUUAUCAUAAACGUCAUUUAUCUAAUGCCAAUGUACAAGGUCAGAAUGCUGUGACAUUCUGACCAAAGUAUGUAUUCACGUAGGUGCUAGGAGUGUUUAUCAGUUGACUUCCUGUCUCUUCAGGAAAUGUGCUCAGCUGGAAGGAUCUGCUUUAGCCAAGAUCACUCACCUUUCCUAGUGCAGCUCCCUUCCUAGACUGCUCUGGUCACCUUGUUUAUCCCCUCUGCCAAUACUCCCUUCUGUCCCUUCUCUAAAACUCCAUUAUAUCCUUAGACUCUCCAUGGAUAUUGCCUUGUGUGAUUUCCUGUAGU